rnacentral:lncRNA from 1 species
GGCAGGCCUGAGCUGGCAGGGUUUGCCAGGCUCUCUCUUUUCUCUCUGUCAUGGCAACCAGCAGCGAUCCAGCUAGAUGUUACUCUGUCACCUUGGUGUCACAGUGAACACAAGUGGCCUGGAGAAUCCCAUCUGACUCAGCCAUUCCCAGAAGUGACAGUGAUGCACAACCAGGAUCGAGACUCACAGAAGUAAAUGUACUUGAACAUCACAUGCAUAUACACGUUAGUGUGGGCUGCAUUCACAAGACAAAACGCGAGACUCCUGAGAUGCUGAUCGUCCUCCAGGCUCGGGGAUUGCCAGGUGAUACGUGAAAUUUUCAUGAAUGAACUUGCUGUGAAAAACUCUAUUCAUCACUGCUAAGAGUUACCCCCUCCCCAAAUCUAUGAAAACACAAUGGCUUUCUCUGGGCUUUGUUCAGUUCCCUUUGAAUAUGAAUUAAUUCCUCAUGGUUUUAUAAGGAAUUUGAAAAUGAAUGGAACCAAUUAUUCCCUGUAUUUUCUCCAUCACACCCGUGCAGAAACGAGCCUUUCUAGACUUCAGAUUCCCCUGGAAGGAGGAUUUGGACGAAUUCGGCCCUAUUUUGACUAAUAUGCUGGUUGUAGGAGCCGGCUGGCAGUUAUUUUUUUAAAAGUUAAUCUCUUUUCAGUUAUUUAAGAACUGUGUUUUAAAUUCAUUGAAAAAUUGAAUUGCCUUUGGCGAAAUCAGGAAUAGACUUGUAUCUCUUUAACGGAACAAGAACACUUUACCCUUAACCAUAGUUUUGGUCAACAACAAACUCAAUGACAAAACAUCACCGGCCUGCUUGGAAAGGCAGGAACUCUGAUCCUCUGCCUAGUGGACUGGGUAGGGUUAACGAACGCACCAGCAGAGGGCAAAGGAAGAAAAGGGGCUUCCCACAGAAGCGCAGCUCAGGGAUCAGCAUGAAUCAUGCCACAUCAGCUUUCUUCCUCCCAUCAGGGACCCUGACCGCAAUUCCCUGCCUCUCUCUCUCACCCUAA